UUAAGCGACUAAGCGUACACGGUGGAUGCCCUGGCAGUCAGAGGCGAUGAAGGACGUGCUAAUCUGCGAAAAGCGUCGGUAAGGUGAUAUGAACCGUUACAGCCGGCGAUGUCCGAAUGGGGAAACCCAGUGCAAUUCGUUGCACUAUCGUUAACUGAAUACAUAGGUUAACGAGGCGAACCGGGGGAACUGAAACAUCUAAGUACCCCGAGGAAAAGAAAUCAACCGAGAUUCCCCCAGUAGCGGCGAGCGAACGGGGAGCAGCCCAGAGUCUGAAUCAGCUUGUGUGUUAGUGGAACGGUCUGGAAAGUCCGACGGUACAGGGUGAUAGUCCCGUACACCAAAAUGCACAGGUUGUGAACUCGAAGAGUAGGGCGGGACACGUGGUAUCCUGUCUGAAUAUGGGGGGACCAUCCUCCAAGGCUAAAUACUCCUGACUGACCGAUAGUGAACCAGUACCGGAGGGAAAGGCGAAAAGAACCCCGGCGAGGGGAGUGAAAAAGACCCUGAACCCGUGUACGUACAAGCAGUGGGAGCCCUUUCGGGUGUGACUGCGUACCUUUUGUAUAAUGGGUCAGCGACUUAUAUUCUGUAGCAAGGUUAACCGUAUAGGGGAGCCGCAGGGAAACCGAGUCUUAACUGGGCGUUAAGUUGCAGGGUAUAGACCCGAAACCCGGUGAUCUAGCCAUGGGCAGGUUGAAGGUUGGGUAACACUAACUGGAGGACCGAACCGACUAAUGUUGAAAAAUUAGCGGAUGACUUGUGGCUGGGGGUGAAAGGCCAAUCAAACCGGGAGAUAGCUGGUUCUCCCCGAAAGCUAUUUAGGUAGCGCCUCGUGAAUUCAUCUUCGGGGGUAGAGCACUGUUUCGGCUAGGGGGUCAUCCCGACUUACCAACCCGAUGCAAACUACGAAUACCGAAGAAUGUUAUCACGGGAGACACACGGCGGGUGCUAACGUCCGUCGUGAAGAGGGAAACAACCCAGACCGCCAGCUAAGGUCCCAAAGUCACAGUUAAGUGGGAAACGAUGUGGGAAGGCACAGACAGCCAGGAUGUUGGCUUAGAAGCAGCCAUCAUUUAAAGAAAGCGUAAUAGCUCACUGGUCGAGUCGGCCUGCGCGGAAGAUGUAACGGGGCUAAACUGUGCACCGAAGCUGCGGCAGCGACACUAUGUGUUGUUGGGUAGGGGAGCGUUCUGUAAGCCUGCGAAGGUGGCCUGUGAGGGUUGCUGGAGGUAUCAGAAGUGCGAAUGCUGACAUAAGUAACGAUAAUGCGGGUGAAAAGCCCGCACGCCGGAAGACCAAGGGUUCCUGGGAAACAGGUUAAUAUUCCUGUACUUGGUGUUACUGCGAAGGGGGGACGGAGAAGGCUAUGUUAGCCGGGCGACGGUUGUCCCGGUUUAAGCAUGUAGGCGGAGGUUCCAGGUAAAUCCGGUACCUUUUAACGCUUAAGUGUGAUGACGAGGCACUACGGUGCUGAAGUAACAAAUGCCCUGCUUCCAGGAAAAGCCUCUAAGCAUCAGGUAACAUUGAAUCGUACCCCAAACCGACACAGGUGGUCAGGUAGAGAAUACCAAGGCGCUUGAGAGAACUCGGGUGAAGGAACUAGGCAAAAUGGUGCCGUAACUUCGGGAGAAGGCACGCUGAUAUGUAGGUGAAGCCCCUGCGGGUGGAGCUGAAAUCAGUCGAAGAUACCAGCUGGCUGCAACUGUUUAUUAAAAACACAGCACUGUGCAAACACGAAAGUGGACGUAUACGGUGUGACGCCUGCCCGGUGCCGGAAGGUUAAUUGAUGGGGUUAUCCGUAAGGAGAAGCUCUUGAUCGAAGCCCCGGUAAACGGCGGCCGUAACUAUAACGGUCCUAAGGUAGCGAAAUUCCUUGUCGGGUAAGUUCCGACCUGCACGAAUGGCGUAAUGAUGGCCAGGCUGUCUCCACCCGAGACUCAGUGAAAUUGAACUCGCUGUGAAGAUGCAGUGUACCCGCGGCAAGACGGAAAGACCCCGUGAACCUUUACUAUAGCUUGACACUGAACAUUGAGCCUUGAUGUGUAGGAUAGGUGGGAGGCUUUGAAGCGUGGACGCCAGUCUGCGGGAGGUUGCCUUGGGAAACCACGCCUUUAAUGUUUGAUGUUCUAACGUUGGCCCCUAAUCGGGGUUGCGGACAGUGUCUGGUGGGUAGUUUGACUGGGGCGGUCUCCUCCCAAAGAGUAACGGAGGAGCACGAAGGUUAGCUAAUCCUGGUCGGACAUCAGGAGGUUAGUGCAAUGGCAUAAGCUAGCUUGACUGCGAGCGUGACGGCGCGAGCAGGUGCGAAAGCAGGUCAUAGUGAUCCGGUGGUUCUGAAUGGAAGGGCCAUCGCUCAACGGAUAAAAGGUACUCCGGGGAUAACAGGCUGAUACCGCCCAAGAGUUCAUAUCGA
rnacentral:rRNA from 1 species